rnacentral:rRNA from 1 species
UGGCUCAAGAACGAACGUUAGCGGCGCGCCUAACACAUGCAAGUCGCACGAGAAAGGGCUUCGGCCCCGGUACAGUGGCGCACGGGUGAGUAACACGUAGGUAAUCUUCCCUCGAGCGGGGGAUAACCCUCCGAAAGGAGGGCUAAUACCGCAUAAGACCACGGCCUUUUCGGAGGCUGCGGCCAAAGCGGACCUCUUCACGAAAGUUCGCACUUGAGGAUGAGCCUGCGGCCCAUCAGGCAGUUGGCGGGGUAAUGGCCCACCAAACCUAAGACGGGUAGCUGGUCUGAGAGGAUGGUCAGCCACACUGGAACUGAGACACGGUCCAGACUCCUACGGGAGGCAGCAGUGGGGAAUCUUGCGCAAUGGGGGAAACCCUGACGCAGCGACGCCGCGUGAGCGAUGAAGGCCUUCGGGUUGUAAAGCUCUGUGGGGAGGGACGAAUAAGUGUUGGCUAACAUCCAGCAUGAUGACGGUACCUCCUUAGCAAGCACCGGCUAACUCUGUGCCAGCAGCCGCGGUAA